CGCUAGCUCGUCACAAGAGGGGUCGAGCUCACACACCUCCCUGCUGGGCUCCAGGGGAUCUGGGUAGGGGGCUGGGGCUCUGAGAAGCAUCAACCGACACAGUGGGAUUAACCAACACGGGGUAUAUACAGCCUCUUCCCACUGUACGAGAGGCUCCAGGACCCUGGGCAUGGGGAUUGACCUGCACUGUAGAGCGAGCCCUCAGCAGUUCAGAGAGACUGUCCCAGGACAACUCCUCCCUACCAACACAAGGCAAAGGGCACUGGCCAGCGCCUCACCUCCUCCCCACUUACCCAAGCGCAUAGCGCCGGACUCUGUUCACUACCUCACUGCCCUCCUGCUUGGACACGAAAGCUGUGGAGCAGAGGCACAAGAUCAGGUAUCCCUAGUCCUUGGCGACCCCCCAACUCUUGUUGAGGCUGGAUCCUGGCAUAAAUGGUGCCCACAUGUAGGACUCUUGGACCUUUAGGCCGACCCCGACCUGUCUUUGGUAACACACCCACCAACCUGAAUUCAAAUGACACUGGCCAAGCAGGCAGGAGGCAGAGCACCCAGAGGAUGAACCCUGGAGCUUUCCAAGAGCAGCGGGAAGACGGCCCAGGCUGUGUGCGGAGACUGGCAGGGGACAGACCACUGUGGUGUUUUUUCUGUCCUUAGGGUCUCGCAGACAGAGCUAACGGAGCGGCCCCUGGUUAAGGUAAGGCUUCAGGCAGGAGAGGGGAGUGUCUGUCCCACCCUAGGAA